rnacentral:tRNA from 1 species
GGAGAGCUGCCGGAGUGGUCGAACGGGGCAGACUCGAAAUCUGUUGUCCUGCUUUUGCGGGACCGGGGGUUCGAAUCCCUCGCUCUCCGCUA